rnacentral:rRNA from 1 species
AGAGUUUGAUCCUGGCUCAGAUUGAACGCUGGCGGCAGGCCUAACACAUGCAAGUCGAGCGGAUGAGUGGAGCUUGCUCCAUGAUUCAGCGGCGGACGGGUGAGUAAUGCCUAGGAAUCUGCCUGGUAGUGGGGGACAACGUUUCGAAAGGAACGCUAAUACCGCAUACGUCCUACGGGAGAAAGUGGGGGAUCUUCGGACCUCACGCUAUCAGAUGAGCCUAGGUCGGAUUAGCUAGUUGGUGAGGUAAAGGCUCACCAAGGCGACGAUCCGUAACUGGUCUGAGAGGAUGAUCAGUCACACUGGAACUGAGACACGGUCCAGACUCCUACGGGAGGCAGCAGUGGGGAAUAUUGGACAAUGGGCGAAAGCCUGAUCCAGCCAUGCCGCGUGUGUGAAGAAGGUCUUCGGAUUGUAAAGCACUUUAAGUUGGGAGGAAGGGCAGUAAGUUAAUACCUUGCUGUUUUGACGUUACCAACAGAAUAAGCACCGGCUAACUUCG